rnacentral:lncRNA from 1 species
UUCAGGACCAAUAAUUUAUUUCACAAAUAUAUCCAAAUAAUAAAUGUCUAUACUUUAUUUAUUCAUUUACAACUCAGUUGGAAUACAAUUGCGGAACUCUACUCCAUAAUUCACUAUUCUUUGCAUUUACAUAUUUAAUACAAUGAUUAUUACUCUUAUCGAUCCAUAUCUCGUUCAUUCAAUUAGACUCCACGAUUCUUCUUUCCAUCUAUUACCUGGGGAGGGUUGGAGGGGGGUGAGUAUUAAACUCAGUGAGUAGAAUUAGAUAACUCUCUCACCCCACACAAUCAUAAAAAUGCUAAAAUAAUUUUAUGUGGUCACCCGUUAAAUUAUGUGAUCAUGCAGUUUGGCACACAAAUGGCAAUACAACAGCAAUCACAAAUAUUAUCACCUUCAUAUAAUCACAUCACGUGGAAAUUAGUCAGUGGAGUCACCGAAACCCGAUGAGCCGUCCUCCCACAUGGCCCAUCCUCUCACAUGUGCACCAGGGAGCCAAUCCCCCAUUCUGGCCGACCGGUUUAAUCCUCACACAACCAGUCCUCUCAUUAUUUUUCCAGUCUCUCUCUCUUUUUUUUUUUUUUNNNNN